ACGCCGCGUGAGCGAUGAAGGCCUUCGGGUCGUAAAGCUCUGUUGUUAGGGAAGAACAAGUGCUAGUUGAAUAAGCUGGCACCUUGACGGUACCUAACCAGAAAGCCACGGCUAACUACGUGCCAGCAGCCGCGGUAAUACGUAGGUGGCAAGCGUUAUCCGGAAUUAUUGGGCGUAAAGCGCGCGCAGGUGGUUUCUUAAGUCUGAUGUGAAAGCCCACGGCUCAACCGUGGAGGGUCAUUGGAAACUGGGAGACUUGAGUGCAGAAGAGGAAAGUGGAAUUCCAUGUGUAGCGGUGAAAUGCGUAGAGAUAUGGAGGAACACCAGUGGCGAAGGCGACUUUCUGGUCUGCAACUGACACUGAGGCGCGAAAGCGUGGGGAGCAAACAGGAUUAGAUACCCUGGUAGUCCACGCCGUAAACGAUGAGUGCUAAGUGUUAGAGGGUUUCCGCCCUUUAUUGCUGAAGUUAACGCAUUAAGCACUCCGCCUGGGGAGA
rnacentral:rRNA from 1 species